rnacentral:rRNA from 4 species
GGAAAGUUGCAAAGAACUUUGAAGAGAGAGUUCAAGAGAACGUGAAAUCGCUAAAGUGGAACCGGAGAGAGUUAACAUAACUUGGUAGCUAUAUUCUCUAAAGUCGCUUAACUGUGGCUCUGGGGGGUGGACGCUACCUGUUGUUGCACUGACUGCGUUGAUUGUGCUUUCCGAACAGUAUAGUGUUGCCCACUUUGUGGUGUCUUGCUUUCUGGGAGGUUUGUCAUGAUUAACGUAAAGCCAAUUCCCUUUGGAGUCAGUGUGAAAGUUAACCACCUUUCCGACCCGUCUUGAAACACGGACCGAGGAGUGUAAUUUAUACGCGAGUCAAGGGGUGGUGAAAACCCUAGGGGCGGAAUGAAAGUAAAGGCCGGUUAACCGGUUGACAUGGGAUCCGCUCUUCGGAGCGGCGCACCAUGGCCCUGUCUUGUCUGCUUGCAGAUGGGCAGCGGUAGAGCGUAUAGUUUGCGACCCGAAA